UAAAUGUCUUAUUGUCAUUGUAUUCUAACUAAAGCGAUAUUAAACCCUUGUUUUCUCAGAGACGGAUCCAAUUCUAAUGGAUGACGUUGGAAAGGAGGAGCCUGCUCUCACUGAUACAGAGGAGGAAGGGGAAGAAGCAGACACAGACCUAUUGCAACAGGACAUGGCCAGGCAGACUCUGGAGGAGAAGCUGCAGCCUUAUCUCCAUGUGUUGGGGCUCCUCUUCCUCAGCAAGCCCAUGAGCCAUGCAUUCAACUUCAUCCUGCUCUUUCAGUUAUGAACAUGACUCUAUCCAGCUGUAUCAGAGGGCUUCAGUCUUCCCCUGUACCACAUCAACCAUGUCCCCUGGCAAGACACCCAUCAUCUCAAUUAUCAACAUUUGUCACCAGCUCUCUUUAUGUCAGCCCAUCCAUUACACCCAAUGUUUUUACACCUUGAGACGUGUGGACUCUGCAGAAAGGGCAGACUAAUGGCUGGAUUCAUUCUACCUGGCCUUAGCAGUGUUUAUGCUGUAUCAUUUAUUUCUAUGUUCUCAAACUACUGCUAAUUCGUAUUGUCAAUUAGUCUAAUACUUGGAAGCGUUUACUUUUUGAUGGGAGUCUACUUGGUAUUUUUAUUCUAUGAAAAACCUUUCUGCAAUUUUCCUUGGCUUAUUAAAAACA